rnacentral:tRNA from 1 species
UCUCCUGUGAUGGAAUUGGUAUACAAAAGGGAUUCAAAAUCCCUUGCCUUUAUGGUGUGCGGGUUCGAGUCCCGCCAGGAGAA